ACAACAACAACAACAUUUUAAAAAUAACCAAGCAAAAGAACGGAUUACUUCCCAGCUGCACCCACAAUUGUGUGGUCUGAGGAGGCAUCAAUGAUGCCUCCCCAGCUGUUGCCAUUGGCUGUGGACUGCCUGUGAUGUCACAAAAGCACAUGGCAACUGAGUGGACAUAAACAUGGUCCAAGGGGAAAGGCUUUCUCCCUUCCCUAACAGAGCACAGGAGGUAACAGCUGUGGCAUUCAGGACUCCUGGAUUUCACAUGGAAUUAACAGACAGAAUGAGGAGAUCAUCCAGCAGCAAGUUGCUAUGGAGUGAUAGAAAGCAAGUUUGCUUGCUGAGUGGGAUUGCAGCAUGGAGGGGGCCGAUACCCAUGGUUGGAAGCUGUCUGGAGCCUGGCGAUGGACUUAGUGGAAGCUGGCAGAUGUUGGAUGCCUGAAGAUGGGAAGGCUUUUCUCGAGGCCACCUGUGGAAGUAAUGAAGAGAACCACAGGGCUUAAGCCAGCCAGCUUCUAUUUCUAAAGAAAUAUCUUUCUAAAUACACUGUUCAUUACACCUUC